CGCAGCCUACGGGAGGCAGCAGUGAGGAAUAUUGGUCAAUGGGAGGAAUCCUGAACCAGCCAUGCCGCGUGCAGGACGACGGCUCUACGAGUUGUAAACUGCUUCUGUACCGGGGUAAAAUGCCUUACGAGUAGGGUUUUGAAAGUACGGUACGAAUAAGGAUCGGCUAACUCCGUGCCAGCAGCCGCGGUAAUACGGAGGAUCCGAGCGUUAUCCGGAUUCAUUGGGUUUAAAGGGUGCGUAGGCGGUCUGUUAAGUCAGCGGUCAAAGCCCGGGGCUCAACCCCGGCCCGCCGUUGAAACUGG
rnacentral:rRNA from 1 species